GAGUUUGAUCCUGGCUCAGGAUGAACGCUGGCGGCGUGCCUAACACAUGCAAGUCGAACGGGGUCUUAGUACGGAAGUUUUCGGAUGGAAGGAUUAAGACUUAGUGGCGGACGGGUGAGUAACGCGUGGGUAACCUGCCCUGUACAGGGGGAUAACAGUUGGAAACGGCUGCUAAAACCGCAUAACAUGGAGAUACCGCAUGAUAUUUCCAUCAAAUAUUUAUAGGUACAGGAUGGGCCCGCGUCUGAUUAGCCAGUUGGCAGGGUAAUGGCCUACCAAAGCGACGAUCAGUAGCCGGCUUGAGAGAGUGACCGGCCACAUUGGGACUGAGACACGGCCCAAACUCCUACGGGAGGCAGCAGUGGGGGAUAUUGCACAAUGGGGGAAACCCUGAUGCAGCGACGCCGCGUGAGUGAAGAAGUAUUUCGGUAUGUAAAGCUCUAUCGGCAGGGAAGAAAAAAA
rnacentral:rRNA from 1 species